rnacentral:rRNA from 1 species
AGAGUUUGAUUAUGGCUCAGGAUGAACGCUGGCGGCGUGCUAACACAUGCAAGUCGAACGAAGAGAACGAGAAGCUUGCUUUUGUCUCUGAGUGGCGGACGGGUGAGUAACGUGUGGGCAACCUAUCCUAAACAGGGGGAAUAAUCAUUGGAAACGAUGACUAAUACCGCGUAAUGUCGCUGAAAGGCAUCUUUUGGCGAAGAGAGGAGCAAUCCGGUUUUGGAGGGGCCCGCAUCUGAUUAGCUAGUUGGUGAGAUAACAGCUCACCAAGGCGACGAUCAGUAGCCGACCUGAGAGGGUGAUCGGCCACAUUGGGACUGAGACACGGCCCAAACUCCUACGGGAGGCAGCAGUGGGGAAUAUUGCACAAUGGGCGCAAGCCUGAAUGCAGCAACGCCGCGUGAAGGAAGAAGGGUUUCGGCUCGUAAACUUCUAUCGACAGGGACGAAACAAAUGACGGUACCUGAAUAAGAAGCCCCGGCUAACUACGUGCCAGCCGCAGC